rnacentral:misc_RNA from 1 species
GAUGAAGAACGCAGUGAAAUGCGAUAAGUAAUGUGAAUUGCAGAAUUCAGUGAAUCAUCGAAUCUUUGAACGCACAUUGCGCCCCCUGGUAUUCCGGGGGCAUGCCUGUCCGAGCGUCAUUACAACCCUCAAGCUCAGCUUGGUGUUGGGCCCCGCCGCCCCGGCGGGCCCUAAAGUCAGUGGCGGUGCCGUCCGGCUCCGAGCGUAGUAAUUCUUCUCGCUCUGGAGGUCCGGUCGUGUGCUCGCCAGCAACCCCCAAUUUUUUUCAGGUUGACCUCGGAUCAGGUAGGGAUACCCGCUGAACUUAAGCAUAUCAAUAAGCGGAGGA